UCCGAUAUGGUGUAGUGGCUAACAUCGCUCGCUCUCAAUCAUAUUGAACCGAGCAGCCCUGGGUUCGAUUCCCAGUAUCGGAG
rnacentral:tRNA from 1 species